rnacentral:tRNA from 1 species
GGCUAUGAGGCGCGGUUGCGCGAGGGCGUGUGCUUCUCCGACGGCAGCCCGCUGACGGCCGAGCUCGUGUGCGAGUCGCUGCGUCGCUGCC